rnacentral:tRNA from 1 species
GGAUGUAGUUCAGUGCCAGAGCGCUUGCUUGGUGAGCAGGAACCUCUGGGUUCAAUUCCCAGUACCA